UACGAAGGGGGCUAGCGUUGUUCGGAAUUACUGGGCGUAAAGCGCACGUAGGCGGAUAUUUAAGUCAGGGGUGAAAUCCCAGAGCUCAACUCUGGAACUGCCUUUGAUACUGGGUAUCUUGAGUAUGGAAGAGGUAAGUGGAAUUCCGAGUGUAGAGGUGAAAUUCGUAGAUAUUCGGAGGAACACCAGUGGCGAAGGCGGCUUACUGGUCCAUUACUGACGCUGAGGUGGCGAAAGCGUGGGGAGCAAACAGG
rnacentral:rRNA from 1 species